rfam:Clostridium lentocellum DSM 5427, complete genome.
GGGUCACUAGCUCAGUCGGUAGAGCACUUGACUUUUAAUCAAGUUGUCCCGGGUUCGAUUCCCGGGUGGCUCA